UUGGCUAGCUAGUUAGCGGUGGUGCGCGCUAGUGGCGUUUCAAUCGGUGACGUCACUUGCUCUGAGACCUUGAAGUAGUGGUUCCCCUUGCUCUGCAAGGGCCGCGGCUUUUGUGGAGCGAUGGUAACGAUGUUUCGAGGGUGACUGUUGACGUGUGCAGAGCGUCCCUGGUUCGCGCCCAGGUAGGGGCGAGGGGACGAACGUAAAGUCUAUACUGGAACAUUUGCCACGGUGCGGCUGUUUCGAUUGAGUUCAGCAGUGCACUUUCAAAGCAGAAGCAAGUUGAGUCACCAAGAGGUAGAACAGACAUUGUAAACAAAAGGGAGAGAACAGUGCACUUUCAAAGCAGAAGGCAAGUUGAGUCACCAAGAGGUAGAACAGACAUUGUAAACAAAAGGGAGAGAACAGUGCACUUUCAAAGCAGAAGGCAAGUUGAGUCACCAAGAGGUAGAACAGACAUUGUAAACAAAAGGGAGAGAACAGUGCACUUUCAAAGCAGAAGGCAAGUUGAGUCACCAAGAGGUAGAACAGACAUUGUAAACAAAAGGGAGAGAACAGUGCACUUUCAAAGCAGAAGGCAAGUUGAGUCACCAAGAGGUAGAACAGACAUUGUAAACAAAAGGGAGAGAACAGUGCACUUUCAAAGCAGAAGGCAAGUUGAGUCACCAAGAGGUAGAACAGACAUUGUAAACAAAAGGGAGAGAACAGUGCACUUUCAAAGCAGAAGGCAAGUUGAGUCACCAAGAGGUAGAACAGACAUUGUAAACAAAAGGGAGAGAACAGUGCACUUUCAAAGCAGAAGGCAAGUUGAGUCACCAAGAGGUAGAACAGACAUUGUAAACAAAAGGGAGAGAACAGUGCACUUUCAAAGCAGAAGGCAAGUUGAGUCACCAAGAGGUAGAACAGACAUUGUAAACAAAAAGGGGAGAACAGUGCACUUUCAAAGCAGAAGGCAAGUUGAGUCACCAAGAGGUAGAACAGACAUUGUAAACAAAAGGAGAGAACAGCCUUGUAGUAAAAUUACAAAUAGUCAUUCAUCAAGAUUAAAAUGACAUAACAUGUUAAAUCCAGUAGCAGGAGGCUAUUUUUAUACACAUAAAUAAUCCAUAUCUUACCCUGCCUUGGUUAGCAUUUGGACCUCAUACUUUCACUUUCAAAAUGACAAAAUCGUUGAUUUGCCGACUGAUUGUCAUUUUGAAAGUGAAAGUAGGAGGUUCAAAUGCUAACCAAGCCAGGGUAAGAUAACUCCUGUCAUUUUGAAAGCCUAUGUUCUAUCAAUUGGUAAAAUCAAACAUUUCCUCCCAAGUAACUUGUUAGUAGUCUGCCUGUGAAAAUCAGGAAAUCGUGUAAGAACGCUUCAGAGCUAUAUCAUUAUUGGCUGGAGAUAUGGGAUUACACACUGUCACAUUUCAUAACGCAUUCAAAACAAUGACCGACACUCCAGACCGCCAAAUGCAGCCAAUAGAUGUCCUUCCUUGUCUGGAACACAUCCAUCCGUUUAUAUCGUUAUGACAAAGUAUAGCUUUCGCUUAGAUGUGCUCAAUCUAAACAGUGUACUAAGUUAAUUAAUAACCUCCGUUUCUUCUUCAAGUACCAUGUAGCAAUGCGCUGAGUCUGUGGGAUAACCGAACACGCUUCAAGCUAAAAUGAUUUAAACACCAAAAGGUGUAAUAUAUUAUCUCCUGGAACACAUCCAAGUCCUGUGAAUACAUCUUCUUUGUUCAAGCUUGAAUAUUCUUGGUAGUAAACCCAUUUGCUGACAAGCUGAUGUUCCAAGUAUUGCAGGCGCAUCUUGUUCCAUCACUUGACAUUCCAGGUCAAACACUUUCUCUUUGUAUUUGCAGUUGAGUGUUUUCUUGCCUUUUUGCUCUAUCUGGUGGCCAGAAUAGGGGACUAGUUUGCGGUUGGAUUUUUGCAUGGAAUUAAAUACUUGGAUGGCUCACAACUUCCUCCAGCUAAAUCAAGACAAGACCAAGGUACUUAUUUUUGGAGCCAAAGCAAAGAUAGAGAAUCUGGCUGCACAUUUUAUUAGCCCCACUCACUUUCAGAGUUUUCAAGUCUCACCGGGACAAGACUUUACAUUCAGUUCCUGUAUCCAGUUUAAAAGUACGUGUGGUUGUUAAUUUUCAGUGUUUCUGAGUAAUCUGCCGCGCACUUGGUCAUUUGUGAUUUCACACACAAUUCUGUCCCGUAUCAGUGACUCGGUAAAUUGUUGAAACUCAAAGUCAUUUUUUAGAUCAGUCCCAUUAGCAUCAAUUGACUUUGUUUGUCCUUGCACUCUCGUAAAAAAGAUAUCGGACUUAACGUUACCUGAUGCAUUUUUUUUCUUGGCUCAUAUUACGUUCGGAAAGGGUAUUUAAUACAUCCAAGUCAUCUACAUCAUCGUCAAAAUCAAUAGUAUUGAAUACCUUGAUUCCAUCAUCUCCGGCUACGUGCAGGAACGAGGCACAUUUCCCCUUUUCGGAUUUCUCGGAAAUGCCACCGGCGAUGAUAUAUAGUAAAGGUUGAAUUUCUGGAUCCACACUAGAUUUCCCUCUAGGUUCAGAGUAGUUGGUGGUCUCAUUUGUUCCAUGUUUCGGAAUGUUGAGCUUUCCUUGUAUAACUUUUAAACUGCUGAAACCAUAUAAUAUAUUAGCACACUGAUGCAGGGAUGCGGGUGGCAGAACAACGUUUAUCAGAUGUCAUGGGGGUCAAGGUCAAGUGCAGACGAUCGCAUGUAGUAAUUAGUAAUAGCGCCACCCACACGCACUCCAGGUAAGUACAUGAACAUACAUGUCGAAAGGUUAUCAAAAGGGAUGUUUAUUCCGAGUGGAUAUUGGCCCCAUUGUGAAUCCAUAUUAAAUGUAUGUUUUCUUAAAAGAACAUUAAGCCUGCAAUUUAAUUUGAUGAAUUAGUUUCUGUAAUCCCCACUGUUUUCAUGUAAUUGUAACUCUACUUUUAUUGCAUAAAAACCCCCCAAAUACAAACAAUAAUGCUGCAAUGAAGCAGUGAGGCAUAAGGACUGUUCUUUGCAUGAUGCAGAGCAUGUUCAUUCAUUCUGAUUGUGUCCCUCAAACGCCAUUGUUUAGAUUUACAUAAAAUAACAUAAAAAUAUAGGACAAAACACACAUCACAACAAGAAAGACACUACAUUAAAUCAAAUGUAUUUAUAUAGACCUUCUUACAUCAGCUGAUAUAUCAAAGGGCUGUACAGAAGCCCAGCCUAAAACCCCAAACAGCAAGCAAUGCAGGUGGCUAGGAAAAACUCCCUAGAAAGGCCAAAACCUAGGAAGAAACCUAGAGAGGAACCAGGCUAUGAGGGUGGCCAGUCCUCUUCUGGCUGUGCCGGGAGGAGAUUACAACAGAGAUGAUAUACAUAGAGACAUAAGACAACAUAGCAUGGCAGCAACACAUGAAAACACAGCAUGGCAGCAACACAUGAAAACACAACAUGGCAGCAACACAUGGAAACACAACAUGGCAGCAGCACAACAUGGUAGCUGCACAAAACACGGUACAAACAUUAUUGGGCACAGACAACAGCACAAAGGGCAAGAAGGUAGAGACAACAAUACAUCACGCUAAGCAGCCACAACUCAACCUUUCUUGUGGGAACCUCACUUUGAAUCCAGUUUAUUAACUGUGACUUACAUUUUUAAUUUCACAUUCAAAUCACUCUGAGUUAAUAGUUUGUUUUACUGUCCAAAAUGACAAGGAAUCCAGUCAACAGUCAGAGAGGGAAGGUCCAUCUGCCUUCAAUUGAGGACAGUCAGAAGUGUCCAUGUGCCAGAGCAACAGCAGAGCAUCCCAACGUCAUCCCUAAAUCGUCCCCCUCCCUCCAGUUUAAGAUGACGUCCUUAUCAUGUUGCCUGCUUUUUGAAUGGAUGCUACUUCAAAUGUAACCCUUGCAAUUGCCAUUAAUAAAAGCAUAUGCCCAUAGGUAAUACCACGUCAAAACAAAACAUUGAAAUAAACAUUUGUUUAGUGUUCGAGAGGUAAAACAAACAGCCUGUGAAAGAAAAGAAAACGUAAUGAAUAAAGUGAAAGUUAAUUAAUGUUUCUUGCGUCUAACUGAAGCCUGCAGGUGAACGGCUCCACAAAAGGAAAUGGCAGGUUGAGCCUGCUUGGACCCAGGAGCAGCUAGAGAGGGUCACCAGAACAAGUCUAACUUCACCAGUACCACCAUGGCUGAGGACAGAUGAGGAAAUCACUCACUUGUCAAAGUUUGAAGAGGAGUGUUUGAAGAAAAACCAAGAGAUCUCUGUGCUUCAGGAGGAGCUGACAGAACUGACCAUGUCUCAUAAUGAGGAUGUGGUCAGAGGUCAGCUACAGUCUCUUAUGACCGAAAAUAACUUCUGGACAUCAGGACUGCGAUUACUCACCACGGACUGUCAGAAUACUUUUUUUCCUUUAACAAGUCUGAUGAGCCCAAGGUGAAUGAUAUACUGCUCUCCCGGGAACGGGCCCAGAUCCUCAUGAUUUGCGUGAAGAGAAGGUGGAGAAAAAGGGUCCAAAGGGCGGGCUGCUUUCUGAGAAUUCGUAGGCGAUCGAAUAAACCCCUACUUCCUUCCAUUCUGCUAGCAAACGUGCAAUCUUUGGAAAAUAAAAUCGAUGAUCUACGCAGAAGAUUAAACUACCAACGGGACAUUGAAAACUGUAUCUUAUGCUUCACGGAGUCGUGGCUGAAUGACGACACUAUCAACAUACUGAUUAUACGCUGUACUGGCAGGAUAGAACAGCAGCGUCUGGUAAGACAAGGGGCGGUGAACUAUGUAUUUUUGUAAAUAACAGCUGGUGCUCGAUAUCUAAGGAAGUCUCGAGCUAUUGCUCGCCUGAGGUAGAGUAUCUCAUGAUAAGCUGGAGACCACACAAUCUACUUAGAGAGUUUUCAUCUGUACUUUUCGUAGAUGUAUACAUACCACCACAGACUGAUGCUGGCACUAAGACCGCAUUGAAUGAUCUGUAUUCCGCCAUAAGCAAAAAAGAAAACGCUCACCCAGAGGCCGCGCUCCUAGUAGCCGGGGACUUUAAUGUAGGGAAACUUAAACCAACUUUUUACCAAUGUUAGAUUCUGGGUUAAACAUGAUACAUCAGAGACAUGAUACAUCAUAAGUAAUACUAUAGUAUCUGAGGAGUAAUAUAUUCAUUUAUUCACGAUUCAUUCAGGAUUAACCGUAAUCAUGGAAGAAUCCACAUUAUAAGGGAAAAGAUAUCCUUUAGGAAGUAAAUCUAAACAAAGAGAUGUACUCAAACCACUUAUAUUAAACAUGUUCAUUUAACUUAAAAAACAUCUCUAUAUUUAGUAUUUUGAUCGGCGACAAGGUUUAUUUGAGCUAUUGCCAUAGUAACAACUGACGCCAAAUUGUCUGUGGUAAUUGAUUUUUCGCGCGGAGAGUGAAUGGAAGAGAAUGAGGUUAGGUGCAGACAAUGAAGAUGGCAACAACAAUUCAAACAUGAACUGUAUGGCGUUCUAAAUCCUAGUGCUUCCGUUCCUCUUUAAUAUAAAAGUGUUUAGAAACAUUUAGAUUGUUAAAUACAAUGAAAGUGACAUCAAAAUGACACAAUACAUUAUUUACCCU